rnacentral:guide_RNA from 1 species
AUAUAUAACAACCAUAUAGAGAUCAUGUGUGCAGAGAAAGUGUGAU